rnacentral:rRNA from 1 species
CCCUUAGAUGUUCUGGGCCGCACGCCCGCUACACUGAUGCAUUCAACGAGUUUCUUCCUGGUCCGAGAGGAAUGGGUAACCUUUUGAAAGUGCAUCGUGAUAGGGAUAGACUAUUGCAAUUAUUGGUCUUCAACGAGGAAUUCCUAGUAGACGUAGUUCAUCAGACUGCAUCGAUUACGUCCCUGCCCUUUGUACACACCGCCCGUCGCUCCUACCGAUUGAAUGCUCAGGUGAGCCAUUCGGACUUUCAUCAUGCUGGUUUCCAGUUUUGAUGAAGGAAAGUCUUGCGAACCUUAUCAUUUAGAGGAAGGAGAAGUCGUAACA